rnacentral:tmRNA from 1 species
UGCCUUUCCAACGCCCCGGUUGAUCCCUAUAUUUAAAGAGCCAGCUUGCUGGAUAUGGUGAUAAACUGUCUGUGUAAUAAACCAUUCGGACCCGGGGGCGGUACCCGGCGCCUCCACCAGAGUGGAUCAUGUUUGCAAUCAUGGUCCAUUCCGGCGGGGGCGAAAUAGGAUCGACGAGGGCGUAAAGACAGAACUUUUACUCGGCAUGGUACCACCGAUAUCGGACUAUUUUAGUAGUUGCAAAUGACAACAACUAUGCUGAGGCACGUCUCGCUGCUUAACGCAGUGCGAUAGCUUCAAUUUAAGUCCAGUCCUGUUUGCAUGGGGUUGGCGGGGUUCGGGAGCACCUGGCAACAGAAGCUCCUACU